GUCUGUUGGCAUGCUAAGUUGAAAUCAAAACCUUCUCCAUGGAAACGUUUUGAAACGUUAUGUUUAGAUUCUAAGGUGCUGACAGUAAAGUUGCAGUUUAAAGAGGUUUUAUGGUCUGAAGACGGUAAAUAGUAAAUGCCUUACCAUUUCUCGCUUUUGAGACCUAAUCCAUUUUUAUGUCAAGAAAUUCCGUAUAUGUAAGAUUUAGUGAGUGCAAAGAAUGUCAGCAACCAUUGUGGAGAUUUUGCAUUCUGUCUGCCUGCCUGGCUUGUAUUCUUAGAUGCACGUAUACAUUUAAACAUGUAUAAACUUAUACAUGCCCUUCCUGAGUUUUGGAUGUUGCUGCCAAGGGCAGUCAGCUCAUUUGACUCUAUCUACUAUGCUGCAUUUGAGAUUUUGUCAAUGCCAUUGAAUACAAAGGUGAAAGCAAGAGCCCAUAAAUAUGGCUGCAUCAAAAAGACAUGCAUAGAAUGGUGAAAAAUUUGAGUUGCUUGAUGUUCACAUUUCUCGGCUGAGGUUGAAUGAGGCUCCAGAAACUGACCAGCAAGCCUGCAGACCAGCAGAUGGAUGGAGGAAUGACGGGGCAGAGAAAGGGAGAAGAGGAGGAACAUCUGAACGCCAAGAGGAAUAAGGCUGGGGGCAGUCCGAAAGGAUUCUGUUUGCUGGGCGGCCCGACCCCAGGGGAGGAUCAUUUUCCCACUCCAUCCCCUGCUUCUGACUCCCCAUUUAUCCUGCUGAAAGUCACCUCCACCUCCACCUCCACCACUCAAUAAAACUUCGCAUUCAUCCUUCGAGUUCGUGCGUGACCCGAUUUUUCCGGGAGGCUGGACAAAAGCCCGGGAUACGGAAAGCUGUCACGCUGGCCCUCUGCCCUUGCAAAAAGGCAGAGGGUCCAUUGAGCUGAUUAACACUAAAGCCAUCUGUGGAGAGCAAAGCUGAAAGAGCUCUGUAACACUGGGGUUGCAGGAAACCACCUCUAGACUGUACCGCCGGGCUGGAGCCCAAAGCGCUCUUCCGGCCUGUAUACCUGCUAAUCUGCACGCUCCCCGUCUUUCAAGAGGUUUGAGCAGCAGGGCUACUGAACAGGCUCUGAUCUAAGUGCUGGGAAUACAUUGGUGGACACAGCCAACCUAGAUGUCCUCCCCUCAUGAAGCUUAUGGCAGAAAGUAAGCCUCCUGCGUGGUUCUGGCUUCAGUAAAGGAGACACUCAGACUUUGAAAGCUGAAUCAAAGAGGGGGAAGCUGUCUUACAUUGUCUGGGUGAUUUUGUAAAGGGGUCACAGUGUAUUCAAGUUUUUAUUUGGCUCAUCACACACUAUGUGGCAUGCUGUGUUCCUGCAAAGACAUUUUCAAAUAAGCUCACAUACACAACUUCUAGGAGUUGAGAUGUAGACAGCCUUUCAAGGACAGCCAUUCCACCCACAACACAUGGUUAAAGGCAAGUGGCCCAACUUUCUGCUAUAGAUUAGAUAUGCUAAUGUUCAAAAGGAAAGAACUUUGAUGUGAAAUGUAAUGCCACCUCGGGAGAGUUUUGGGACUUUGUGGGGUUACAGUGAAGGGGAGCACUACCGGCAGAGUGGGCAAGGAUCUGGGUUGUUCCUUGCCUUGGGAUAUGUGAGACACUCCAGCUUGAAGAAUUGUCCCAUGUCCUCUGCAACUUUCCCAAGUUGUCCCCAACUUGUCAUAUGUUCCUGAGGACAUUCACGUAGGUGAAAAACCUGUUUAUAAUGAUCUGGGUCUACAGCAUAUCUGCAUUUUACAAACAAACAGGAGGUUAUAUUAUCUGUGAAUUUCAUUUCAGGGUAGUGAAAGGGAUAUUAUAAAAUAUCUAUUAUAAAAGGGGAAGUUGGGUCUGAGAGAGUGGAUACUCAAAGAGAAAAAUAUCCCCCAAUGUGUUUUUAUCAACUCUUUUAAUGUGAAUUUUCUGGGAGAUAGUAUUUUAUCAGCAUUUCCUAAAGUAACCCCAUUGUCAGCAUCUCCCUCAGUCAUGCAUAUUUAGAUCCUCAUGGCUUGUGACAGUGUCUUGGAGAGUUGUCUAGAGCUCCUGAGAUGGAAACCAGGAUCCUAUGUAGUGAAAUCUCCUUACCCAGCCCUGUUGGGUGGCACUGAACAUUGUAACUAGUCUUUCUGAAGCUUGAUUUUCUUAUUUCUCAAAGGCCAAUCACUCAAGGCAGGUGGGCAGAUCACUUGAGGUCAGGAGUUUGAGAGCAGCCUGGCCAACAUGGUGAAACCCUGUCUCUACUAAAAAUACAAAAAUUAGCCAGGCAUGGUGGCAGGUGCCUGUAGUCUCAGCUACUCGGAGGCUGAGGCAGGGGAAUUGCUUGAACCCAGGAGGUGGAGGUUGUAGUGAGUGGAGGUCGCACCACUGCACUCCAAAUGAGACUCCAUGUCAAAAAACUAAAAAUAAAAAUAUAAAAUUACAUAUGUUUCUUGCAUUUUAUUUCCAUUGGCCAUCAAGUGAUUGUUGCUAAAAGCUAAAUCUAAAAAUCCCCUAAUAAAUAAACUAUGAGGGUAUAUCUAAAUACAAAUUGGAUACUCAGAAGUA
rnacentral:lncRNA from 1 species